rnacentral:rRNA from 1 species
GGGCCCGCACAAGCGGUGGAGCAUGUGGUUCAAUUCGACGCAACGCGAAGAACCUUACCUGGGCUCGAACGGCUUAAGAUCAACUUUGGAAACAGAGUCUUCUCGCAAGAGACUUGAGUCGAGGUGCUGCAUGGCUGUCGUCAGCUCGUGUCGUGAGAUGUUGGGUUAAGUCCCGCAACGAGCGCAACCCUUGUCCUGUGUUGCCAUCAUUCAGUUGGGAACUCGCAGGAGACCGCCAGCGAUAAGUUGGAGGAAGGUGGGGAUGAUGUCAAGUCAUCAUGGCCUUUAUGUCCAGGGCUACACACGUGCUACAAUGGACGGUACAAACCGCUGCAAACCCGCGAGGGGGAGCUAAUCGGAAAAAACCGUUCUCAGUUCGGAUUGCAGGCUGCAACUCGCCUGCAUGAAGCUGGAAUCGCUAGUAAUGGCGUAUCAGAAUGAUGCCGUGAAUACGUUCCCGGGCCUU